UAUAACGAACAUAUGUGUAUAGAAAUGGCAUUCACUGGAAGAGAAAAGAUGUUUUGUGUGUUGGAGUGUGCUCGAACACAGUCGAACAAGACUGCAGCGUGCACUUGUGAGAGAGUCGUCUAAAAAGUCACCAACGGCAAUGCAGAUGUG